AUAGAUCAUUACUGUGGCAUGAAAAGCCCUCCAUUAAUUAGAUCAACAGGGAGAUUCAUGUGGAUUAAGUUUAGUUCUGACGAAGAGCUUGAAGGACUGGGAUUUCGAGCAAAAUACUCAUUUAUUCCAGAUCCAGACUUUACUUAUCUAGGAGGUAUUUUAAAUCCCAUUCCAGAUUGCCAGUUUGAGCUCUCAGGAGCUGAUGGAAUAGUACGUUCUAGUCAGGUAGAACAAGAAGAGAAAACGAAACCCAGCCAAGCAGUUGAUUGCAACUGGACAAUCAGAGCCACCUCACGAGCUAAGAUUUAUUUGAGGUUCCUAGAUUAUCAAAUGGAGCACUCAAAUGAAUGCAAGAGAAACUUCAUCGCAGUCUAUGAUGGGAGCAGCUCUAUCGAAAACCUGAAGGCCAAGUUCUGCAGCACUGUGGGCAACGAUGUGAUGCUGAAGACGGGAAUUGGCGUGAUACGAAUGUGGGCAGAUGAAGGUAGUCGGCUCAGCAGGUUCAGAAUGCUCUUUACAUCCUUUGUGGAGCCUCCCUGCACUGGCAGCACUUUCUUCUGCCACAGCAACAUGUGCAUCAAUGACUCCUUAGUCUGCAAAGGAGUCCAGAACUGCGCCUACCCUUGGGAUGAGAAUCACUGCAAAGAAAAGAAAAAAUCAGGACUGUUUGAACAAAUCAUUAAAACUAAUGGAACAAUUAUUGGCAUUACAUCAGGGAUUGUCUUGGGCCUUCUCAUUAUUUCUAUUUUAGUACAAGUGAAACAGCCUUGAAAAAAGGUCAUGGCUUGCAAAACUGCCUUUAGUAAGACUGGGUUCCAGGAAGUGUUUGAUCCUCCUCAUUAUGAACUGUUUUCACUGAGGGACAAAGAGAUGUCUGCAGACCUGGCAGACCUGGCUGAAGAGCUGGACGGCUACCAGAAGGUGCAGCGCCCCUCCUCAGCCUCCCGGUAUGUUCACAACCACCACUGUGGGUCGCAGGCGCCCAGCGUCAGACAGAGCAGGACCAACCUCAGUGCCAUGGAGCUUCCCUUCCGGAAUGACUUUGCACAACCACAGCCAAUGAGACCGUUUAAUAGCACUUUCAAGAAAAGUAGCUACACCUUCAAACAGGCCCAUGAGUGCCCUGACCAGGCCCUAGAAGACAGAGUAAUGGAGGAGAUUCCCUGUGAGAUUUAUGUCAGGGGCCGAGAAGAUUCUGCACAAGCAUCCAUAUCUAUCGACUUCUGACUUCUGCUGACAGUGACAUUAACUGCUGCGUGUGCGUGUCCCACCUGCAGAGCGCCCGCCCUCCAGCAGCCAGCCCCUGCCUGUCAGACCUUUGUUUGCCACUAACUUGCUGUGAUGUUGAGGUUCUCACCUCUCAGGCAGCCAGGGAACUUACUGUAUUCAGUAGAAAACAUGAGUCAUCUGUUGCCUGGCCUCAUACAAGAAAGCAGCACCAGUGAAAAGCGUCGAGGAGGGAGUGGCUGUGCUGAGCACUCACAGUACAGGCAUCAGGAAUUCCGCUCUUGCCUGCUCCAGCUCUGUCAAUAUUUUGAUCCUACUAGUAAACUUAAAAAUGAGGUUUUCCUUUAUUUUUCU